AGCUGUACAGAUGUUACAUUUUAUAGAUUGUGAUAAAAGUAACAUCAUGUGCAACAGA
rnacentral:pre_miRNA from 1 species